GGAGAUGGCUGAGAUGCGAAGAAAGGCCGAGGAGGCCGCUCAGAAAAAUGAGCAAGAGCUGCAAGUUCUCCGCAGGGAGAACGAAGAUAUGAGAAAGAAGCUGGGGGAGGGAGGACCCUCUGUCAUACCGACGAACGUGGUCGGCAAGUCCUACACCUCUCCCCCCAACCCGGAUGUGGCCGAGGGGACGAGAGGCCGACCCCCUCCCCGCGAGACUGAAAUGGGCGACGAGUCGUGCCUAAUGAG
rnacentral:lncRNA from 1 species